ACCGAAUAGAUACCCUGGUAGUCCACGCCCUAAACGAUGCGAACUGGAUGUUGGGUACAUUACGGUACUCAGUGUCGAAAGCUAAACGCGUUAAGUUCGCCGCCUGGGGAGUACGGUCGCAAGACUGAAACUCAAAGGAAUUGACGGGGGCCCGCACAAGCGGUGGAGUAUGUGGUUUAAUUCGAUGCAACGCGAAGAACCUUACCUGGCCUUGACAUCUGUCGAAUCCUGCAGAGAUGCGGGAGUGCCGCAAGGAACGACAAGACAGGUGCUGCAUGGCUGUCGUCAGCUCGUGUCGUGAGAUGUUGGGUUAAGUCCCGCAACGAGCGCAACCCUUGUCCCUAGUUGCCAGCACGUAAUGGUGGGAACUCUAGGGAGACUGCCGGUGACAAACCGGAGGAAGGUGGGGAGUGACGUCAAGUCCU
rnacentral:rRNA from 1 species